GACGAACGCUGGCGGCGUGCUUAACACAUGCAAGUCGAACGAAGUGGCGAACGGGUGAGUAAUACGUGGGUAACCUGCCCUCCUUUUUGGGAUAAGCCUUGGAAACGGGGUCUAAUACCGAAUACAGGGGGAUGGGCUCGGGGCCUAUCAUCUUGUUGGUGGGUUAAUGCCCUAACAAGGCGGUGCCGGGUAGCCGGCCUGAGAGGGUGAACGGCGACAGUGGGACGGGGAGACGGCCCAGACGCGUACGGAAGGCAGCAGUGGGGGAAAUGGCAGAAAGGGCGAAAGACGGAUGCAGCGACGACGAAGGGGGGAGGAAGGGUUGAGGGUUGUAAACCUCUUUCGCAAGCGAACGGGUAGGUGGAGAAGAAGCGCCGGCUAACUACGUGCCAGCAGCCGCGGUAAUAC
rnacentral:rRNA from 1 species